UGGACUAUAUAGUAUGGCAACCUUUGAUCUGAAUCAGCAACAAGAGAAAACAGCAGCAGACCUGGAAAGAACUGGGCCUACCAAACAGAGGAGGAAUUGAAGCCCAAGCUCAAGUCUAGAGUACAUCGUUUUUCUGGAGAGAUGCAAGAGCAUAACUGGGAGUACUCAAAUGUAAGAAAGCAAGAAAGAAAAAUCUAACGAGUGACAUCAAAAAAAGUUACAAAUUGAUUGAGUGAAGAUGAGCAGCUGGCAUUACAUGUUGAUGGAUUGAGAACUCACUGCUAUUUCACCUUUUAUGGGGAUGUCAUUAUCAAGGACAUCACAGGUGCAGAAA